rnacentral:rRNA from 1 species
UACGAAGGGGGCUAGCGUUGCUCGGAAUCACUGGGCGUAAAGCGCACGUAGGCGGACUCUUAAGUCGGUGGUGAAAUCCUGGAGCUCAACUCCAGAACUGCCUUCGAUACUGAGAGUCUCGAGUCCGGGAGAGGUGAGUGGAAUUGCGAGUGUAGAGGUGAAAUUCGUAGAUAUGUUACAGAACACCGAUUGCGAAGGCAGAUGACUAAACCGAAACUGACGCUGAGGCACGAAAGCGUGGGGAUCAAACAGG